UAAAGUAGUAGUAGGGGAGAGUGUAGCUUGACACCAUAAGGUGGUGGUGUGUAGGAUGUAAUUGUAAUUGUCAAUAAUAAUCUUCUCAAAACACUAUUAAAUGAGAGAGGAUUUAACAUCACAUUGUCAAAAUAGAUUACAUAUUACAUGACCAUUUGGAUACAUUGUUCAUCCAAAGCACUGGAAUUCCCUUUAAGUACUCUUGCGUCCCCUGGGAAAGGCACACCACAUACAAUGCAAACCCUUGUUAAAACGGAAUGGUCUGUAACUUAAGACACAACAGGUUGUGAUUGUGAGCAAAUUUACCUAUAACUUUUGUAUCUUAAAUGUCUGUUAAACUACAGAACUUAGGUCGCCAACAGUGUGUGUAUGUAUAUAAAUAUAUGUAUAUGUACUCUCCUAUCUAAUAUUAACCAAACUCCAAAAUCCAGACUCUCAAAGGACUGCCACUCCCCAUAAAACCUACAUUUUAAUGUCGGAGCCUGUGGGGGUUAUUUUGCUGUCAAACCUUGCACCAAAAUCUGAACCAUUUCCCGAAUCUGUCACAUGAUACUUUGGACAUUAUCAUUUACGGCCCCUCCUCCAAAUGAAUUAUGCCUUGCUACACAUGUCGCGGGAAUGGGAAGAUGUUUCAUCUCAAAAACUAAUAAACAUCCAUCCAUCCAUCCAUUUUCUUAGCUCCUUAUCCUCACAAGGGUCGCAGACGACAGUUGCAUUUACAAUCACACCUUGGGCCAAUUUAGGGUCUUCAAUAAAUGUAGUUUUUUUUGAGAUGUGGGAGGAAACAGGAGUGCCCGGAGAAAACCCACACAGGCACGAGGAGAACAUGCAAACUCCACACAGGGAGGGCAGGGAUUGAACCCGGGUCCUCAGAACUUUGAGGCCAAUGCUUUCCAGGAGGACCACCGUGCCUCCACUGAUAAACAUUGUUUUUAGUAAAUCAUUAACUUGGAAUAUUUAUGGCUGCAACACAUUCCCAAAAAGGUGGGACAUGGUGAAGUUUUCUCUUUCCAAACAUUUAAUAAAUGUUUUGGAGCUGAGGACACAAAUUGUUCAAGCUGUCUCGGUGGAAUUCUUUCCCAUUCUCACUUGGAAGUACAGCUUCAGCUGUUCAACAGUAUGGGGUCUCCAUUGUUAUAUUUUUCGCCUCACAACCCAACACGUAUUUUCAUUGGGAGACAGGUCUGGACUGCAGGCAGGCCAGUCUUGUACCUGCACUCUUUUACUACAAAGCCACGUGGUUGUAAAACAUCCAGAAUGUGGUUUGGCAUUGUCUUGCUGAAAUAAGCAGGGGUGUUCAUGCAAAACAUGUUGUCUGGAUUGAAGCAUGUUUCUCCAAAACCUGUAUGUACCUUUGAUCAGAAAUGGUGCCUUCAAAGAUGUGUAAGUUACUGAUGUCACUGGCUCAAACACAGCACCACACAAUUACAGAUGCUGGCUUUUGAACUUUGUGUCCAUAACAGUCCAGAUGGUUCUUUUCCUCUUUGCCCAUCCAGAGGAAAUGCCAUCUACGAUUUCCAAAAACAAUUUGAAACGUGGACUCAUCAGACCACAGAACACUUUUCCACUUUUCAUCAGUCCAUCUUAGAUGAGUUUGGGACCAGAGAAGCCGGUGGCAUUACUGAGUGCUGCUGAAAAAUGUUUUUUGUUUUGCAUAGUACAAUUUUAAAUUGCACUGAUGUAGUGCCUAACUGGAUUAACAGACAUUGCCUUUCUGAAGUGUUCCUGAGCUCAUGUGGUACUGCCAAGUCAACUAACGGGAAGAGAACCUGUCCCCCUCAAGACCUGCAGGGGGCAGAGAAACUUCAAUCCCGCAACUCUUCAAACUUCCUGUCAGAGGCCAGGGGCGGCCAUAUUGCUCACAGACAACAUGUGAGCUUGCGUGGAACAAAGAAAGCUGACCAGGAAAAGGAAUGAAUCACUAACAAACAGCUGAAGCAACCAAGAAGCAACUAAAAAACCCAAAGGCACCGUUCAGUUCAGACGCAACUGGUUAUGAACCUAAUCAACUUCUAAUCACCCUCCAACCACCUUAACCAUCAAUAAACUGUGAGAAGAGGAAGAUUUGAGUUGUUCAUGUGUUUGAAGACCAAGGGACUUUUCAAGUUGGGGCAAAGAACUGAGGGAGUUAAAGACAACUUGACAGAUCAGUGUCUCGCCUGUAAUCUCCCAGUGGAUCUACAACUUCCAGACGCGCGGGACACAGCUGGUGAGGCUGGGGGACACCACCACAUCCACAAGCACUUUCAGCACAGGGCGGCAGUCCCAAAUUCCAUCUGGCACGA